AUGACAGGUGUCAAGAAUUCCAAUAUUCAGGAAGCUGCUGCCAGGARCAUUAUCCUGUCAGGCAAAUCACAGAGCAGUCCYCCAGCAACCAGUCCGGUAUUUCAAGAUCCAAGAGAGCUGCUGAGAGCAAUCCCUGCUUCAAACGCCUUUGUUCCUAAUACGUUGAAUGAGGACAAUGCUGACUCUAACCACGAGGACCUGCUAAUUCCAGCUAAUCUGGCUCCAGCUGAGGAGGCUGCUGUUUCAAAGAGCACUCCAGAUGACCAGGACGUUUCCUUAACAUCACAGACAGAGAAUCUAAUUGACUUUACAGAAGCCACACCUCGGGUGUCUUCUCAGCCCAUUGUAACACCGAGGUGGUUAGUGCCAACGGGACUGAUUUCCAACGGGCCUUUGGGAAAUAAUGUUGCCUUAUCUUUGAAGGCAGUGAAAGGCAGCACAGAGACCCUGAUGUCCUCGGCKGGAUUGACACCAUCCCAGCAGACACCCGAAGUCCUUGCAAGCCCAGUUACUGAGGAUGCUACAAUAAGAACAAAAUGUUUACUCACCACUGAGCUCUAGAAGAAGGAGUCUCUGGAACUCUCACCUUGUAAAAACUCAAAUCUUCUAACAUAUUUCCAAGGGAUCCUUCCAAAAACUUGCUUGGGAUGAAACUCGUGCUGAACGGGAGUCAGACAGCCGGCUGGUUUGCCAGGAUCCAGGAAGAGACUUCUACAUUUAUCACAAUCUAACUGGAAUUGCAGCCUGAACCGGGAUGUAAAACCACAUGCACAUCUGAUCUCCCUUGGGAGAAGUGAAGUGUCACACUGGAGCUAGUUCUGAACUGAGGAAAAGAAAACAGUUGUGUUCUGCUUGUGCUGGGUUAAUUGUUCCUUACCCUGAGCUGGCUCUGGUGCUGCUGGAAGGUGUUACAGAGCUGUGGGCUGUGAGCACGGGGCCCUGAUGGCUGUGGAAUGAUGAACAGCAGGCAUGAGGAGAACUCGCAGGGCCACCUCGUGGCCGUGUCCUGCACAGGACUCUCCGUGCUGGUGACUGUCCCCUGCAGCCAAGGACAUUUUCUUCUGUGUGAUUAUUCCCUCUGUUUCUCCUUCGUUUUACCAACACAUACUCUCCUUUUUGGCCUUAACCCCCUAAAUAAUCUUUGCACACCCUAUUACAGUACCUGGAAAGCAGGAAAAUCUAGUCCUAUCAGUGACCAGCUAUGUAGACUGGAUUUCAGCUGCUGCUCAUUGCAACCAGGAAAAUGCAAAUUACCUGCCAAACAUUAGCAGAAUACAGCAGAGGUUCUCACAUUUGAUACUGAUCAUUUCAUUUCCUACAUGCUUCAAAUACAUGCAUUUUAGACUAGAGAUAUGUAUGUUUUAAAAGCCAAAGCAGGUGAAGGUGUGAGUGCAAAUUAAUUCAGGAGCUGCUUAUUGGUUAGUAUUGUUGUCUUCUAGGACUAGAAAGGAAAAUAAUUUUCUCAUUUCUCUUCAUGCAGUUUCUGGGUGUUUUUUCCAUUUGCUGUGCUUUAGGAAUACUUUCCAGGUAUUUUUGCAGCAUGAGGUACAACUAGAUCAGUUCUUGACACCACUUUGAAUCCUGUUCCAAAUGUCACCUUAUAGUUGUAUGUGGAACAAACAAUAGAAAGACUAGGGUGAAAAUUGGAAAAAAAGGAUGAAAAAUUCCUGUAAGCAAUUCACUWCUCUGUAGAAGGAAGGUAAGAGCACACACUCCACAGAGCAGGUGAAGKUCUUUGGGUGCUCAGGUGAAGUUUGGGAUACAGUGCACACAGUUCAGAGAUCAUUUGAGCUCUGGGCAGCAGUAUCAUCACCUAGACCCAGGGGAUAUAGCCUGUGAAAAAAGUAAUGCAGAGUCAGAGGGAGGAGAAACAAAGAUGGUGAAUCCCACAUCUAGCAGGGAAACACAGAUUAAACUGGUCUUUCUUUCUGAGGGAGAGGUUCGUACAUAUGACUGAGGUWGGAGAGUGUUUUCUUCAUAGUGCUGCUGUUUGUAAAUACUUACAUGCAUGUGGUUCUUAGAAACAAACUUAAAUGUGAAAAUUGGUUCUGGAACCUGUAUGCACAACUUCAUUUCUGCCCAUUGGCUGCGUGCACAUGUCUCAGUGUAAACAAAGGUUUGGACCAAACCACUCUGGGUUUUGCAAGUAAGCUGGGCCCAGCAAGGCUGCUGCAUUCRGACCRAGGUGUUCAUGCUGCUGUUGCUCUYGUGCUCUUUGUAAGAURCUGAAUGCGAGUUAAGGGAGAAGCCACGUGGAUUUCAGAUGGCCUGCUGGCACUUCUCAAAACCCCUGAGGCCUUAAUAGAGGAAUGUAGGGACCAGAGAAAGCUGCUAGGACUGGCAUACCAGAGUGACUGCMGGCAGUGAUUGGCAGCCAGUGCCUCAGGAACCAGGAUUUCAGGAUUUGUGGCAGGUGCUGCGGGUGCCCCUCCAGCCAGCARUGGGCACGUCCCGCUCCCGCACUGCCGGACGACCAGGCACAGGGUUCCUGCUCCCAGCCCUUCAGCUCUCUCAUUGCUGUACCAGUUGAGUAUUGGCUUUUUUUAUACUUUUAAAUCUGAGCCUUACUGCUUAUUAAAACCUAGAUGAUUCCUGAUUUGAAUAUUAAAUGUCUUAGUCUGGAUUAAUAAUGCAGUUGCCAGCAAAGUUCCUGCAGGAAAAGGGAAGCAAUGGCUGCAACAGUCUGCUUCCUGCACAAAGCCAGGACUGUGUGUGGAAACUUGGCACUUGCUAUUCAUCUGUUUGCUCAGCAGCUGAGCUGGCAUUCGCCAGCUACAUGUGUUGGGUUUGUAAAUAGACAGAAUGCAGUAGCAUUUUCUUAGGCAUGUUUGAUAUUUGGCUCUUCCCAUUGGGUUCAGGAGCUCUGUGAACUGUCAGCUUGAAUCYCUCCCAAAACUGGAAUAACAGAAGUUUACAGUUUUCCAGCACUGCGUGUUGAAUACCAUCCUKAGAUUCCUCCCAAGCCAUCACAGCAAAUAACAAGUAAAUACCGUGUAGUGAGUGUGUCUCCUAAAAUCUAAAUGGCUGCAAAUAACCAACUGUUAUUUCACCAUGGUCAAGGUAGCAGUGGUUGGAGGGAAAUGUUGUAAUUACACACAUGCACACACAGAGAAAAUUCAAAGAGGUGAGGCUUUCCUCAAUUUUCAGAGGACUAAUAUUUGAAAUUUCACAUAAAAAUGCAAACAUUUCAACUAGUAAAUUGGGAAUCUGCAAUAUCUAAUUGGGGCUACAAACCCAACUCUUCCCAGCAAUAUCUGAUACUUGGAGCAAAUAUUCACUCAAUUUAUCUUGAUGUAGCUUGCUUAGCUAACCAAAUCACUGCUUAUAUAGGGAGCCUGGCRAGAUCAAGGUGACAGAGGUUUGUGAUGUGAACAUCUUCAUUUGGCAUCACUGCUCUGCUUUGCAUCUAGAGGUACUGUGUUACAACAUGACUGACUAACAGGUAACAUAGCAUUACUCAUCACCUGCAUUUAUCAAACACCAAUUGGGAUAAUAGUUCCUACAGUUAGUGUUACAAAGUAUCAGUAAAUGCCUGUGUGCUACUGAGAAAAAAAAGGGUUUUCCUACCAUUGCUAUGCUAUUGAUUGAUUUCCUGUAGGGUCCAAGUAUUUUCUUAAAGUCUAUUUUCCAGUAUUUAUUCAAAGAGAUUUAUAAAUAAAACUUUUGUGUGAAUCUAGUGUCAGGAUGUUGGCAGGUCUGCCCCCCACUUAAAAGCUGUAAGAGUUGACAGGAAUGAAUGAAUGAAUGCUAAGUGAUUGGAUCUAAAAGUAAAAGYGAUUUUACUACAGUCACAUUCUGUGGAGUAAAAGGUUUUAUAGAAAUCUUGGUGUUUAUAAUAACCACAUCCCAGCCCUUAUCUCAAACUCAUUAACCUGGAAGAGAUGCRUUUCAGUCUCACUCAUUUAAGACCAUCAGAGUCUGCAUGUGCUACGUGCAUUUACAGGCUUAGGAAAUGGGCAUUAAAAUGUGGGAGCUGAGGCUUUCUUACACCAGAAUUAGGGAAUCUCUUCUUAGGUCAGUGGUAAUAGAGUUUCAUAUAAGUUAUAUGACAUAAAUUACCUACUUACCUGUUAAUGAGUUAUGGUUAAUGAAUUAGCUUGCAUGUAUUUGAUUUUAAACUUAAAUUUUACUCCUACUUUGUUGAACACAGACAGCUGUAUAAGACARUUUUGGACAAUUUUUUGACACAACUUCAGCAAGAAAAUUUGCAGCCCUGUUAGAGCAGCUCAGGUGAACAGUGCUGCUACAUGUGGGUCUCUGUACAAACUGCAGUCCUUGCCUGCUCUCCUUUUGUCUGCACCCUGCUCCUUCCUUCUCGUUUCAUGAAGCAAAGACAUGCUGUUGGGAUGAGUAUGUCCUUCACAAACAGCACUAUUUUUCACAUUGUGAACAUAUUCUGGUACAAUCCAAAUCUACUGGUGAAGUGAUAGCAGCUCUGUUCCACAGCCAGUUAGCAUUUAAAGCUCUGUCUGGGCACAUAGUGUUUCUGAGUUUAGGAAGUUGUAGUAUCUAUAUACAUAUAUAUAUGUAGCUGUUAGACACUGUAAUGUCACAGCUUGCAAAUGCAGCUGGACAAUCAUAACUUUUCAACCAAAAAAUACACCAGUAUAUGCUAAUGGCCUUUCAGUGACACAGGUGUGACCCGGGUGUGUUUGCUGCAGGUGUUGGCAGCACAGAGGAGUUCAGCACCCUCCKCCCAGUGCCGUGGCAGAGGCGGAGCUGCAGUGGCUCCUCCUGGCUGUGCGGGAAGGAGAUGCGGGUGCUCUGCACGGCCCCUUAAAGCCAGUCCCGGCUCCGGGUUGGUGCUGGCCUGAGGAGCAGCACUGCCACACCCACAGAGCCGGGAGCCGCAGGAUUCUUCUGCAGAAUUCACCUCCUUUGGACUGCUUGGCUUGAGCACUCUGCUCCAUAAACACACACAUACWCCCUACCUAUAUAACUGGACAAACUUAUUUUUAAAGUAUAUAAGAAUAUUUUUUUAGCUAGAUUCGUUUUGUUAAAGCUGCACUAACUACUGUAUUUUUACUUUUUWUAUGUAAAGCUUGGCAAUAGCUCUCAAUGUAUAAUUUAUUUGUUCAGUUUUUUAUAAAACGAAGUGCACCCUCUUGCUUCUGUUUCACAACACUGGUGACAUAUGAACUGUCUUAGGCACUGCACUGAGAUCUGUAUUGAAACUGUACAUGGAAACAAGUAGAUCUGUAGUCCACUCAACCYAGUCUUGGAAUGUUUAUACCAUAGUUUUGUCUUAAAUACACUAUGUCAGUG
rnacentral:lncRNA from 1 species